AAAUACGCUGCGUUAAUACGUAAAAUAUUUGACGUAACGUCACAACGCCACGUCCACAGAUAGGUUAACAUAGCCACACUUAGCAGUGUGUAAUUAAAACGGUCGCGUUUUUAUUAAUAUUAAAUUUUACUAUUUCAUAUUUUUUAUUAAAUUAUUAUGAUUGAUACUAACGUUCAUGUCGAAAACGUUCCAUGUUUGUAAGUUUUAACUCCGUCGCCGUGGUCUCCUUGUGGCUCGUUCCUUUGGAGAGCAGCUAAAUACAGAGGUAUGCGGCUCAACCAAAAUACCUACCAGCGCAGCUCUUCGUAGUGAAGAUGCGCCUCGGCGAAAAACCAAGAGGACGUGCAGUGAGUGACAGGAAGUCUGAGCAGUUAGGAGGAAACUGAUGGAGGGAACAGGAUGAGCCACAGAGGAGGUGACUGCUGAGGUUGACAGGUGCAGUCAGUGCGGGGAUUUCCACAUCCUUCUGCUCUUCAGGCGAGGAAGCCAUCGUACAGAGAAGGGUUCACCACAGUCUGCAGGCUGCUCACGUCGGUGUCGCUAAAAAGUUCACAUGAACGCUCCAUCUACUUCACAUCUCUGUUCCUGACCAGCUGAUCACAUGAGUCAUGAUGUCUCUCCUGUUCACCCUUUUCCCAGCUCCACAACACCAGGUCUGUUUACUUGCUUCCCCAUCCCAUUUUUUAAGUAUUACCAACGACGAUGCUGUCCAUGGGCGCUCUCCCUGCACUCUCUGAGACUGUACGAUCCGCCGUCCCCAGGUUAUGUCACAUUCCAGGGAACAUGUCGAAACAGAGCUCACCUGAAACCAAAAUAAUCACAUGCUCUCUGUUUUCACUGAGAGCAGCACCUGCAAAAGGAAAGUCAAGUUCUCACUUCAUCUGAGGUUAGGAAAGGAAUUCCCGAUGGAAGCGAUUUCAGUCCCCGAGCUGAGAAAACCCACUUUCAAUCCACUCUGUUUCGACUUUAAAGUUGAGGUUAAAUGUAAGUAGUUCCACAGCCGGAAUGUUCCAGUGCAGUCAGCUGUCAGUUUACACCUUCACCUGUCGCUGACAUGUUUCCAAACACGCUCUCACUUUCACACGUCCUGCUGUUGUUCAUGCUAAAAAAA